rnacentral:tRNA from 1 species
GAGGGUAUAGCUCAGUGGUAGAGUAUGUGCUUAGCAUGCAUAGGGUCCUGGGUUCAAACUCAGUACCUCCA